rnacentral:sRNA from 1 species
GACGCCAUAAACGCCAUGAGUAGUGUAGUAGUUGCAUUUUCUUGUGUACAGAUGGCGCCGGUAGUCAUAUCGAAAUGCAUCUAAGAAAUCGAGGAUUAAAACACUUCUCUCGCACUUUUAACGAUAUAAAUUCCAGAUCUAAGCUGGCAUACGCCAAAAAAAAAAGUGUGUAAUGGCACAAAAAAUUAAUAUAUGUACCAAUUUGGCAGCAGUAAUUACAAUUUGAGCUGUCAGUGAACAAUACUCAUCCUCCACUAACCCCACAGUACAACCCGCAUGGCUAGCUGAUGGAAAUAGUCCCCACUUGGCAAUCACAUGGCGCUUUAGACAGACACUCUAAUCUAAACGGACCAUCUACGAGGAGAACAUCACCCGCCGAACCAGCACCGCAAACUGACAUGCAAAUUAAAAAGCAUAUGCUUUGACUCCUAA